UCUCCUGCAGCUCAGUGGUAGAGCGUCCGAUCUGUGUGGGGAAGGUCAUAGGUUCAACUCCUGUUGGGAGAA